UAGGGAAUUUUCGGCAAUGGGCGAAAGCCUGACCGAGCAACGCCGCGUGAGUGAAGAAGGUCUUCGGAUUGUAAAGCUCUGUUGUAAAGGAAGAACGAGUAGGAUAGGGAAUGAUCUUACAGUGACGGUACUUUACCAGAAAGCCACGGCUAACUACGUGCCAGCAGCCGCGGUAAUACGUAGGUGGCAAGCGUUAUCCGGAAUUAUUGGGCGUAAAGGGUGCGCAGGCGGUUUGAUAAGUUUAAAGUGAAAGAACGGGGCUCAACCCCGUAUAGCUUUGGAAACUGUUGAACUAGAGUGCAGAAGAGGGUAGUGGAAUUCCAUGUGUAGCGGUAAAAUGCGUAGAUAUAUGGAGGAACACCAGUGGCGAAGGCGGCUACCUGGUCUGUAACUGACGCUCAAGCACGAAAGCGUGGGGAGCAAAUA
rnacentral:rRNA from 1 species